GGCGACCGGCGGAUGGGUGAGUAACGCGUAUCCAACCUGCCCCCGGCCCGGGCACAGCCCAUGGAAACGUGGAUUAAAGCCCGAUGCGCCUAAGAGCCGCAUGGCUUUUAGGUGAAACAGGCAGGGGAUGGGGAUGCGUCCCAUUAGGCAGCAGGCGGGGUAACGGCCCACCUGGCCGACGAUGGGUAGGGGUUCUGAGAGGAAGGUCCCCCACAUUGGGACUGAGACACGGCCCAAACUCCUACGGGAGGCAGCAGUGAGGAAUAUUGGUCAAUGGACGUGAGCCUGAACCAGCCAAGUAGCGUGGAGGAAGGAUGCCCUACGGGUUGUAAACUCCUUUAGUGCGGGAAUAACGUGCGCCACGUGUGGUGCAGUGCAGGUACCGCAAGAAUAAGGGCCGGCUAAUUCCGUGCCAGCAGCCGCGGUAAUACGGAAGGCCCGAGCGUUAUCCGGAUUUAUUGGGUUUAAAGGGAGCGCAGGCGGGAGCGUAAGUCAGCUGUUAAAAUGCGGCGCCCAACGCCGUAGUGCAGUUGAAACUGCGUUUCUUGAGUCCGCAAGAGGCAGGCGGAAUUUGUGGUGUAGCGGUGAAAUGCAUAGAUAUCACGAAGGACUCCGAUUGCGAAGGCAGCUUGCCGGGGCGCGACUGACGCUCAUGCUCGAAGGUGCGGGUAUCAAACAGGAUUAGAUACCCUGGUAGUCCGCACAGUAAACGAUGGAUGCCCGCGGUGCGGCCGUUAGGUUACGCCGCCAAGCGAAAGCGUUAAGCAUCCCACCUGGGGAGUACGCCGGCAACGGUGAAACUCAAAGGAAUUGACGGGGGCCCGCACAAGCGGAGGAACAUGUGGUUUAAUUCGAUGAUACGCGAGGAACCUUACCCGGGCUUGAAAUGCCCGCGCAGGCGGCUGGAGACGGCUGCCGUCCCUUCGUUGGGCUGCGGGUGUAGGUGCUGCAUGGUUGUCGUCAGCUCGUGCCGUGAGGUGUCGGCUCAAGUGCCAUAACGAGCGCAACCCCUCUCUCCAGUUGCCAUCGGGCAAUGCCGGGAACUCUGGAGACACUGCCAUCGCAAGAUGUGAGGAAGGCGGGGACGACGUCAAAUCAGCACGGCCCUUACGUCCGGGGCUACACACGUGUUACAAUGGGGGGCACAGCGAGUUGGGCGCCGGCGACGGUGUCCGGAUCAAGAAAUCCCCUCCCAGUUCGGACUGGAGCCUGCAACCCGGCUCCACGCAGCUGGAUUCGCUAGUAAUCGCGCAUCAGCCAUGGCGCGGUGAAUACGUUCCCGGGCCUUGUACACACCGCCCGUCAAGCCAUGAAAGUCGGGGGCGCC
rnacentral:rRNA from 1 species